rnacentral:lncRNA from 1 species
AUAAAAGUUCUGAAUAAAACAAGAAAGAGACAGCUCUCGUCACCAUCUUCGUACGUGCUCUUCCCAUAAGGCAUGAAAGGUCAUAUAAUGGUGCGACGUACUUUGGAGAAGGGCGAGAUCAUUAUGCCGUUUAAUCAUUAUGGUUAUAUAACGAUUAAAGCAUUCUUCCACUACACGGAUCGAUAAACCGAAAGAAGGAAGAACUACCAUGCUCCCGAGAGUGAUGAUGCCAUAAAUGUUACAACCGAACACUCGACGGAUCAAACACGUUCUUGUAUUUGAUCACACUGGAGUUAUGCUCACGAACUCGCCGAGCCCGAUAAUCAAAGCGGCGAACACUUUACUUCUUGAUCUCCAUCCAAUGGCAUGUCCAUCCAUGGAGGUAAUCGAUCUUUCUAUAGGACGAGACGACGAAGUCAACGUCUCGCUCAAGACGACAUCUAGCUCGAUACCGACGGAGCCAAUUCCUGCUCGAGACGACGAACCUGAUGUCUUACUCAAAAUCGAUAUAACCGGCAUCUCUUUCGAGAUGAUGAUAACCGAACUACGUUUGGACUUGAUCCCUUGACGGGUACGUAGGUAGCUCGAUCCCGAGUUCAGUCACGAUCCUUCUCAAUCCUGAUAUCUCUAUGAUAUCCGACCUGCGAAUAUAGUCCAUUUUCGCCGACUCAGACCUGAUUACAUCGUUAUGUUUUUAGGAUAUCGUUGCCCACGUUAUCUUCUUCCCCAGAUUAAACUCUCGAUCACUAUCAAAUACUUAGUGUGGAUUUUAGGAUCUACAUUUUGGCGCCGACUGUGGGGAAGAGAGACGAAAAACAUCAUUGCUAGGAACCCGAUCUAAGGCUUGUAAGCACAAAAAUGGAUCCAGCUUAUAGGUGUCCCGUACCGCAACAAACGAGCCAUCACACUGUAAUGAUAUUGAUCUCGUUAGAUCAGGAAACAAGAAAUGAAACAUGAGAUUUGAUUCCGACCUCAGCCAAAUCGAAGGCCAA